UGACCUAUGGUGUAACGGUAGCACAACAGACUCUGGAUCUGUUUGUAUAGGUUCGAAUCCUAUUAGGUCAA
rnacentral:tRNA from 1 species